rnacentral:rRNA from 1 species
UACGGGGGGGGUAAGCGUUGUUCGGAAUUACUGGGCGUAAAGGGCUCGUAGGCGGCCAACUAAGUCAGACGUGAAAUCCCUCAGCUUAACUGGGGAACUGCGUCUGAUACUGGAUGGCUUGGAUUCGGGAGAGGAAUGCGGAAUUCCAGGUGUAGCGGUGAAAUGCGUAGAUAUCUGUAGGAACACCGGUGGCGAAGGCGGCAUUCUGGACCGAUAUUGACGCUGAUGAGCGAAAGCCAGGGGAGCAAACGGG